GUCGCAAAAUAACAGACAUGUCAACACAAAGCUGCACUAAGGCAGUUUUGCAGCCUGAACCAAUAAAAAACUUCAAAUUCGUCGGUUUUUACGGUUUCCUGGAUUUUGGGAUGAUUUUUUCGCUCGAACAAUCCAGAAUUCGAAUCGUCUUGGAAGGGUCAAACCGGAAGCUGCAUCAGUGCCAGAUAUUGCGCUCGACGGAUUUUGGAACUGGAUUUGAUAAAGGAACUUUUUGCAUGAAAUUUUCUCCCGACGAGUGGCGAGCAGCUUCAGAGUGGUGUUGCGUUAGGCAAACCAUCGCUGAAGAGGCAAACACAAGAAAUUUCAAUUUUUAUUACUGAAAUUGAGGGAAGCAGGAUUAAAAUUCACUAGACAUCACAGACAAUAAAA